GCAAAGGGAUAGCUCACCCUGUAGAACAGGAGGCCCUUAAUCUCUAGGUUGUGGGUUCGAGCCCCACGUUGGGCA